rnacentral:rRNA from 1 species
CCUACGGGUGGCUGCAGUGGGGAAUAUUGGACAAUGGGGGCAACCCUGAUCCAGCCAUGCCGCGUGUGUGAAGAAGGCCCUCGGGUUGUAAAGCACUUUCAGUGAGGAAGAACGCCUGGUGGUUAAUACCCAUCAGGAAAGACAUCACUCACAGAAGAAGCACCGGCUAACUCCGUGCCAGCAGCCGCGGUAAUACGGAGGGUGCGAGCGUUAAUCGGAAUUACUGGGCGUAAAGCGCGCGUAGGUGGCUUGAUAAGCCGGUUGUGAAAGCCCCGGGCUCAACCUGGGAACGGCAUCCGGAACUGUCAAGCUAGAGUGCAGGAGAGGAAGGUAGAAUUCCCGGUGUAGCGGUGAAAUGCGUAGAGAUCGGGCGGAAUACCAGUGGCGAAGGCGGCCUUCUGGACUGACACUGCCACUGAGGUGCGAAAGCGUGGGUAGCAAACAGGAUUAGAUACCCGGGUAGUC